AGCAUUCGUGCUUGUAAGCACUGUAUUCAUUCCCAUCGGAGUUGCUUCCCUUUUUGCUUCUCGAGAUGUAUGGCUGAUUUAAACCCAAUUCUCUGCCUAAUCUGUUUUUUUUUUCUAGUACUACAUGUAGUUGAUCAGGAAAAUGAUGUUUCUGUCAGGUUGUUGAAAUUAUUAAUCGUUAUGAAACUGAUUGCAUACCAAUACCCGCAGUCUUCAGAAACUAAACAGCUCAUUGAAUCUUAUCUUUCCGUAUGGAAAGAUGAAAGACUUCACUAAAGCUGAAAAUUAGAUUUUAAAAUACUUAUCUUUCCGUAAGAAGGGAAUACAAAUUUGUGGUUCUUUUUGGUAUUUGAGUUUAUAUAUUUUCAGAUCUGAGUUAUUGUUUAUUUUGUUUUAGUUUUAUAUAUUUUCAGGAUCCCAAGUUCACGAGGAACCAAAGGUAUUCCCUUCUUACUUUCUUUAUCCCUCCAUUUUCUUGGCUCUUGUAAAUUGUGUGGUUUUUCUUUACCUUUGCAUUUGAUAUUCAUGACUUCUGUGAGGGUCCAUAUACUGCAUGUCAUCUGGUUAAUUCGUUUUUGGAGCAGCAAAGAGUUGAUGAGGUGCAAGGCCUGCUGGGGAAGAUGCAUCUGUCCAAAAAUGUUUGCCUUCGAGUUUUUUUUAUUUUUAUUUUGGUAUUAGAGAGAAGAUAUGUAACAUUACAAUAUAUGUUUGUGAGAUUCAGAAAGUGAAACUUGGUUUCAUGGUUGUAGGCUUUCUUCAUUUCAUGAAAAUUUAAUUUUUUUUCAUUUCCUCAAUUUAGUUUCAAUUUUUCAAUUUUUUUAUUUUUUUAUUAAUUAAUUCAUGUUGGCACAAUUAUAAUAUAAGUGCCAACAUGGCUGGAAAAGCUUAUCUGAAAAAGUUGUUAGAACGGGGCACAAAUGGACCACUGUUUGUGCUUGCCUCUUUGGCACAAAUACACUAUUGUGCUCUUUUAGCAAUGGUGACGCCCGUAGAGUGCACAUACACAAAGAUAGUAGCUGCAUUGUUGCUAUUAGUCUAUGAGCACAAUUGUUGGUGCUUUUUGGCCUCAAGGGGCACAUAUAAUUUAUUGUGCGCAGUGGCCAUUUUUGUUGUAGUGAAAUAGAU
rnacentral:lncRNA from 1 species